UACGGGGGGGGCAAGCGUUGUUCGGAAUUACUGGGCGUAAAGGGCUCGUAGGCGGCCAACUAAGUCAGACGUGAAAUCCCUCGGCUUAACCGGGGAACUGCGUCUGAUACUGGUUGGCUUGAAUCCGGGAGAGGGAUGUGGAAUUCCAGGUGUAGCGGUGAAAUGCGUAGAUAUCUGGAGGAACACCGGUGGCGAAGGCGGCAUCCUGGACCGGUAUUGACGCUGAGGAGCGAAAGCCAGGGAGCAAACGGG
rnacentral:rRNA from 1 species